rnacentral:rRNA from 1 species
CCGCACGCGCGCUACACUGAAUAGAUCAGCGUGUUCUCCCUUUCUGAGAAGAACGGGUAAACCGCUGAACCCUAUUCGUGGUAGGGAUCGGGGCUUGCAAUUAUUCCCCGUGAACCAGGAAUUCCCAGUAGGCGCGAGUCAUAAGCUCGCGUCGAUUACGUCCCUGCCCUUUGUACACACCGCCCGUCGCUACUACCGAUUGAAUGGCUAAUCCCGCG